rnacentral:lncRNA from 1 species
CUCCUCAGCAGGUCCCACGAGGAAACCUUGCUGGUUCCUGGCAUAUCACCUGUGACCUUUCCAGGAGCAGGGAAGUGCCUGGAUGCUCACUGGAAAUGAUGCUCACCUCUGAUUUUCGCAGGGAGGAGCAUUGUCAGGCUUCUACUCCAGGACACAUCACCUUGUUGUAGGACGAGGAAAACUUCACUGACUCCACCAAUUUUCAUCUGAAGCACAGAAUCACAUAUCAGGAAAUCUGGAUCAUCAGCCUGAUUUAAUGGUAUAGAAGGACUAAAGGAGAGUGAUUCAUCACAGGGACUGAUUCCCAGGGCUCUGCUGUGUGAAAGGCUCGGCUGGAUAUGCGCCAGAAGAGAGAGGGAGAUAAAAAUAGUAGACAUAUUCAGCAAGCAUCCUUUUAUUUUUUAAGUCACC